UUCCGUUCGUGAACCAGCGUUGGGAUCAUUA
rnacentral:rRNA from 1 species